GAUUAUGGCUCAGAACGAACGCUGGCGGCAGGCCUAACACAUGCAAGUCGAGCGCGCCCUUCGGGGUGAGCGGCGGACGGGUUAGUAACGCGUGGGAACGUACCCUUUGGUAGGGAAUAGCCACUGGAAACGGUGAGUAAUACCCUAUGAGCCCUUCGGGGGAAAGAUUUAUCGCCAAAAGGAUCGGCCCGCGUUAGAUUAGGUAGUUGGUGGGGUAAUGGCCUACCAAGCCUACGAUCUAUAGCUGGUUUUAGAGGAUGAUCAGCAACACUGGGACUGAGACACGGCCCAGACUCCUACGGGAGGCAGCAGUGGGGAAUCUUGGACAAUGGGGGCAACCCUGAUCCCAGCCAUGCCGCGUGAGUGAAGAAGGCCUUAGGGUCGUAAAGCUCUUUCGCCUGUGAAGAUAAUGACGGUAGCAGGUAAAGAAACCCCGGCUAACUCCGUGCCAGCAGCUGC
rnacentral:rRNA from 1 species